UCCUCGUUAGCUCAGUUGGUAGAGCGCUCCACUGGAAAUGGGGAGGUCUCGGUUGGAUACCAGGACCAGGCG
rfam:Ixodes scapularis strain Wikel colony gcontig_1108378240316, whole genome shotgun sequence.